AGUCUCGAAAAUCUGUUUGACAGGCAGAUGGUAUGUCAGUUGAAGUAUAUUUAUCUCCUUUUGCUGUGCUUGUAGAUGAGUGCUUCGGUUGGGUGAAAAUGGAAAUACUAUCCAAAAUAUAAAAUUUUCAAGAACAUUAUUUUGGAUUUGUGUGAAAUUACUAUUGUAGAAGACCAUCUCUCUCUCUCUCUCUCUGUGUUUAUGUUCCCCUCCUUAGCAAACUUGUUGGAACAACUAGGGCUCUAGUUUACUUAGCUUGUGUUACUUAGGCUCGUGAUUAAAUAAAUAUCCAUUCAUGUUAUUAAGAUAUAUUUCUGCACUUCUAUUCAUCUUUAAGUGAGAUCAUCUGGCAAAGUAAUAGGUUUCAUGUUUAUCUGGGAUUAAAAAAAUACAGGGUCUAGUGAAGAGAGAAACUCGUUUUACUUCCAAGUGUCCUGCAAAUGAAAUUAUGUCAAAAAUCGAGGAAGCUGCUAAACCUUUGGGUUUUAAUGUUCACAAAAGAAACUAUAAGGUACCAACAAGCCUUAUCUGGAUGGAAGGAUACCAUCAAUGCUAAUGCAAAUUCAAAGAGAUAAUUUCAGCCUUGUGUGACAAUUUCUCAUUUCUAACUAUUGCAGAUGAAGUUAAAAGGUGACAAGACUGGAAGAAAAGGUCAUCUUGCUGUAGCUACAGAGGUAUUAACUUGAUUUUGGCUAUCAAAAUUCCAUAUAGGUUCAAUUUUAAAUGAAUAGCUCGGUAAUAAGGUAUUUUAUCUCAUUAAACUAGAUAAAAGAGGAUCCAUAUUAGUAAUAACUUUUGGUUUUGUGGUAGUUGUAACAAUUCAAUGAUUCAUGGUCUGUAGAUGGCAUGGAAAAAAUGAUUCUAAGGCUCAUACUAUGUAUUUUUGUAAAUAAUUAGAUAAUGGGGAAUAGACUUGAGAACUUGCAUAAUUACCUCUGUUGACAUUAUUGUCUUUUAGGUUUUUAUGUUGUUUUCUGAAAGAUAUUGUAGCAUAGCUCUUCUCAUGUUGUUAGUCUCACUUGGAAAGAAAUAGAAAGGGGAGAUGAAGGAUAUGUACCAUACCAUACAAGGUCAUGCCUAAAAAUAGAAAAAUCAUCAUAAAAAGGUGCAAGCCACCGAAAGAUAUAGAGAGAAGGAAGGAAGAAAGCAAAGCUCCCUUUAUUAGUCGUUUCUAUUAGUGGUUUUUUAGUUUGUCCAAGUUUGAUUUGGUAGUGAAUAUUAAUUAGUUAUAUAUUGGGUUUGUAAACUUACUAGCGCGAGGACUAUAUUAAUCCUUGUAAGGCUAUAAAUUCAUGAAAUAAAGUUUUUUAGAAUUUAAAGCAACAGUGCCUUGUGUGAUGCAACUCCUAAAUCCUUGAGCCAUAUUCUACAUGCCAUAAAAGCAUAUAGGUAAGGGAACAAUCACUUAUUAUUUACUGUAAUAUCUUGGUAUCAAAUGCUUGGCUCACUGUUAGAUUCAGGAAAUAAAUUGGUAUAAUGAUUUUUUACUGUUAUUGACAUCUCUACCUUCUUGUGUACAUACUUCACAUUUCAUUAUCCAUACUUUGUGAAUUCUUUGUUGUCAAACAUGUGUAAGAAUUACUAUAUAGUGUUGUUACAUCGAGAACCACCAUCUCUUGGCACUCAAUUUAGGCAGGAAAUGCUUCAGUAGCCUUUAGAACUCCUGUGAAAUUCUUAUGUUUGCACCAAGAAUGCUGGCUAAUUUAUAUAUGCAAACUACUUUCUGGAUAUAGCACUUGAAACCUUCUUAAAUAACGCUUCGUCAUGACUACGAAAAGAAGCUGAAAAUUCAUUAAGGAAAUAAAGAUAAUUGGGUAUUCAGCAGCAGAUUAUUGAUAUAGUUUUAAAGGAGUUCUUGAAUUUUUAAUCCAUUUUCCGUCUGUUUUUCCAACUUGGUAAUAGUAUUAAAUACUUGGUCACUUGCAAUUUUUUACUUCAGGUUUUUGAGGUGGCUCCUUCUGUGCAUAUGGUGGAACUACGUAAAACUGGUGGUGACACACUAGAGUUUCACAAGGCAUGGCAAUGCUUAAUUUCUAGACGUCCUUAAAGUACAUUUAUUUCAAACGCCAAGUUGACCAACUAAUGAAUUUUUUUGCAAUGUCUAAUUAUUUUGCAGUUCUACAAGAAUUUCUCUUCCGGAUUGAAAGACAUUGUGUGGACCUCUGAGUUAGAAGCAGAAGAAACAAGGUGAAGAGUUUAUAUCCCUUCCCCUUUCCUCUUCAUGUAUGAUACAUGUGGAUACCGUUUUCACAAUUUUUUUUCUUUUUUCUCUGUCAGAUCAUAGCAACUUCUCCAUGCAAUUGAUUGAUUUCUUGGAUUCGCCAAGCGAAUUGCAUAUUUAGUCUAAGAAAUCUAAGAUAGCAAGGUAAAAGGACAACAAUAGCUCUUAAUUUAUACGAGCCUAUGGGAUGGAAAUAUAGCUCAAGUGCUCUGUUAUGUGAGGUAUUAGUUCAAUAUUCUUGGUUGUUUCAGUUUUCUCCUUACAUCCUUUUAUCAUUUUGAAUUGAAUUCAUUGGGAUGCUUUCUUGGGAGUUAUUAUAUAUAUCAUAUAUCGAAUAUAUUUAGGACAUAUUUGAUCGUUGUUCUCUCGCUAACAAUCUCCUAUAUACCACCGUGUUAAACCCCUACAAUUCUAAUUUAAGGCGCCCUAUGUUUGAACUUUUAUUUUUCCCCGAUUAUUUACAAUUUUGUUUAAAUUCUAUAGGACUAAUUUNNNNNNNNNNNNNNNNNNNAUGGUGUGGAUUUUGGUGGGGGGGGGGGGGGGGGGAUUCUUGGUUGUCUUACCUCUUGAAGAGUAUACCAUAAAAUGUCCAUGAAAACUAAAGGAUUUCCUGAUUGUUUUGGUAUUAGAUUAGUACAGCAUCAGUUUUGUAUUUGAGAAUUAAGUCAAUUUCAUGAAUUGUAGAGAAAAUCUGCUUGUCAUUUAGUGUACGUGAAAACUGGGAUGACAGUGGAAUUAGUAUAGAGAUCAUGUCUCCCCUAAAGUUGAUUAUAUUUGGUAUCAAAUUUUGAAUCUGGACGUAACGGAUAAGUACUACAACAAAAAUUUGCAACAGGAACAAGGCGACAAAUAAAUAUUUAAAAAUGAAGAUAAAUAAAUAAAUGAAACAAGACUACAAAUAAAUAUUUUUUAAGUUCUCCAUUGACCCCAUCUUUUAGAAAUUGCCAACGGGACGGGGAGUUGGCGAGAAAAAUUUUGUUGGGUGGUACGAUCAUCGAAUGGGAAGCUAUUACCUCAUCAGGUGGUCCACGCUUACCCAAUAAGAUGAGAUCACCUUGAGACUUGAUUUUUUUUCUCUUUCCAUCUCAAGUCCCGAGGUGGCUUCAUCUCAUUGGGUGAGGAUGGGCCAUCUGAUGAGGUGGUGGCUCCCCAUUUGCCUGUCCCACCACAUAAGACGGUAGGACAUUCCCACUAAAGUUUUUCGCGGGAGUUGGCACACAAAAGAGACUUGGGAUGAAGAAAAGCUUGUCGUCAUGUCCCAUCCCAGUGCAAUUUGUGUAAAUAGAGCUGUCGAUUUUGCUUUGAACAAGAAUUUCAGAACUGAUGGAAGUUGGAAGUUGCUCUUAAAUGCCAAAAUCUUUAUGUGCAUUUUAUGGAUAAAGAUGUAAAAGUAGGGCAUACCCUCUUCAAUACGUUCUUGUUCUCCAGCUAUUUGAGAAGGAUAGCAUCUGAGUCUGUGGGCUGGGUUUUGUUUUAAUGUCAAGAUUAGAUAAAUUUAACACGUUGUAAACGUAAGUGUUUACUGUUUACGUAGUUGACUUGUUUUGGAAAGAAUUUAGAAAAAAUGGGAAUUUUUCUCAAUCUACUACUUAUUUUAGGCACAAAUUUAUCGUGGAUUAAUUCUGAAUGGUUUUCUAUUUUUUUUUUCCUGUUAACCGGAUGAAGAAGUCAAUUUAUAAAUGCAAGACAUGAAACGUGAUUUUGUUAUGAUUUACAAAAAUGGGCAAAGAAAGGGGCUAUUGUGACCAUUGCACUCAAGACUUUCUAAUGUCUCGGUGUUAAAUUGGGCCCCGUUGAGAUGCCAGUCACCACCGGUUCAAGCUCUUCCAUCUUAUUUGUCCUUUCUAAUUAAAGAUGGAUUGAGCUUUCUCGAAAAAAAGAAAUUAUCCUCUCAUUUUGUAUGAUUAUUUUGUAUUGUAAAAUUUGAAAUCUGAAUGCAACUAACUCCUUGUCUAACAAUACACUAUUUUUAGAGUAAUGCUAUGUAACUUCACUGAAGUUUCAACCCCGAUAUAGGUGGUGGGUUGCGCCAUCUCUACUGAUAUUGUAAUCCCAAUGGACUAUACAGCAUUAUUCCUAUUUUGGUUCAUAUAAUCAAAGUGGUGAAUUCAGUGCUAGACACUAUUAUUUACGAUAAAUUUAUGGGCAAAUUUCAUCCUUAAAAUUGGCUUAUAAAGAGAUGUUAACCAAAAUAUUUAUAAACUCAAAAGGCAAGCCUUCCGCGAGCGAUGUUGGAUAUAGUUAGAUGAUCACAUUUCAUCCUUCUUCAAAACCAUGUCCCCAGCAGCCCAUUUCCAUAUGUGGAAGACUCGACGGAAAUAAUAUGCUACUCUUAGUAGAUCUCCGUAGGUAGCCCUAAAGGGUGCAUGAAAUGCUUAUAAACUCACAAGGCUUACCUUCUACGAAGAAAGUGGAAUGCAAUGUAUAGCUCGCAUACACACAUGACGAUCGAUACUCGACUUCUUGUACUCAACCUUAUACUCUGGAGUAAAACUGUGUAAUAAUAUUUUUCUGAAGAAAAAUAAUAAUAAAGCAUGCAUUAAUUUAGGUACCAUCUUUGUCCUACCAUGUCAUUUAUUACAUUUGUUGAUGGCCAGCCACCACUACCUAACUCUCUUAAAGAAUUACCAGUUUCGUCCUCAUACGCAAACUAACAUAACUCACAAUGUCAAACACAUUCCUGUGUAUGUAUAUGUGCGUGUAAACAGAUACCAUCUGCUUGCUGUGUUCAUGUGAAAAAACAAAGUCUUGGACUCUCACAUGGCCAAUUGGCACUUGCUCAAAAAACCCACCUUCGUUAACAAACAUAUACCUAUAAUUAGGUUUGGCAAGCUCAGGAUUUCUUCAAACCCUUUCCUCUUUGGUAAUUGGUAGUUGAGCUAUCUGUGUGAUCCUUUUUUCAAAGACUUGCACCAUUAAAAAUUGAGACUUUUGGUGCAGUUUUCUUGUAGCUUUGUAUUUUACAAUCUUUCCUUUUCUUUAAAAUCUAAAAUCCAUUUUUUUCUCCUCCAAUCCCAACUAAUAAUUGCUUACAGGCGUGUUAAGAUUGGUUUGUUCAUCUUAUUAUAGACUCUUCUGAAAAAUACCAUCUGUUUCUUGUUUAAGAACACCAACAAGAGGAGAGAAAUGAAGAACAUAGAAAUGGAUGAGGAAAGACUAAUGGCCGACGUGGCGUUUAAGAACUCCUCGUCUGUGGUCAUAAAAAUCCGGCGAAAAUUGCCGGAUUUUUUGCAGUCUGUUAAGCUCAAAUAUGUCAAAUUAGGCUAUGGUUAUUCGUGCAAUCCUGCAACUCUCCUUAUUUCCAUUGUAGUCUUCCCUUUGUUCUUUGCUACUGCUAUACAACUCAGUGGUCUAACCCUCAGACUUUUUUCUGAUAUUUGGACCAAACAAACAAUUGUUUUCGAUACAGCCACCGUUGUAAUCGGUUCGACCGUAUUGAUGUUUUUGUUAGGCGUGUAUUGGGCCAAACGGCCAAGACCAGUUUACUUGGUUGAUUUCGCGUGUUACAAACCAGAAGAUGAACGGAAAAUGUCAAUUCCAUCGUUCUUGAAGAUGACCGAAGAGAAUGGUGCAUUUGAAGCGGAAUCAAUUCAGUUCCAGAAGAGGAUAUCACACCGGUCUGGCCUCGGUGAUGAUACGUAUUUCCCUCGGGGAAUUACAUCCACGCCCCCUAAUCUAUCCAUGAAAGAAGCCAGGUUGGAGGCCGAGGCUGUCAUGUUCGGAGCACUGGAUUCUCUCUUCAGCAAAACUGGAGUUAAACCGAACGACAUUGGAAUUCUUAUCGUGAACUGCAGCUUAUUCAAUCCAACCCCGUCUUUGUCCGCCAUGAUAGUCAACCAUUACAAACUUAGAACUGAUAUCAAGAGCUACAAUCUUGGAGGAAUGGGGUGCAGUGCUGGCCUCAUAUCAAUAGACCUGGCAAAACACCUUCUUCAAGCUAACCCUAAUACAUAUGCAGUUGUAGUGAGUACUGAAAAUAUCACUCUCAAUUGGUACUUUGGAAAUGACCGUUCAAUGCUAUUGUGUAACUGCAUCUUUCGUAUGGGUGGCGCCGCCAUGCUUCUCUCGAACAAGGCCCGCGACAAAUCCCGGUCCAAGUAUGAGCUGAUCCAUACCGUUCGAACCCAUAAAGGUGCAGAUAACAAUAGCUACAAUUGUGUCUAUCAAAGAGAAGAUGGUAAAGGAACAGUUGGAGUUUCACUUGCUCGAGAAUUGAUGGCCGUAGCCGGUGAUGCUCUGAAGACAAAUAUAACGACUUUGGGACCUUUAGUUCUACCAUUUUCUGAACAAUUCAUUUUCCUGGUUACCUUGAUGAAGAAAAAGGUCUUCAAAGCUAAGGUCAGGCCUUAUAUACCUGAUUUCAAGCUUGCUUUUGAACACUUCUGCAUACACGCUGGUGGAAGGGCAGUGUUGGACGAGUUGCAAAACAACCUUCAACUCACUGAGUGGCACAUGGAGCCAUCGAGGAUGACACUGCACCGGUUCGGGAACACGUCUAGCAGUUCAUUGUGGUAUGAAUUGGCUUACACAGAAGCGAAAGGCCGGGUUUCAAGGGGCAAUCGGGUUUGGCAGAUUGCGUUUGGGUCGGGUUUCAAAUGUAACAGUGCUGUUUGGAGAGCCCUGAGGGAAAUUCCAGCUAAAGAAUGCGAGGGUAACCCCUGGUUUGAUUGUAUUGAUAAGUAUCCUGUUGAGGUUCCUGUAAUAUAAAUUUGUUCAUGGAGCUUAUUGAUGGAAGUGUGCUUAUAAGUGAUAAAUUCUAUUUCUGUAUUAACUUUUUCAUACGAAGAUCCAAGCUACAGGCUUAUAGCUGUGUGUACCCAUAUUUCAAAUAGAGAACAAAUCUAUUGUAAAUGUUAGGUCCUAUGCCCAAUCGAUUUUGGACGUAAACACUUUUAAUAUGAUCAAUGUAUUUUAUAUAUGACGAUAUAUUAUUCAUUUGAAUUACUAUUCUAAUAAUUAUACUAUAUAAAGUCCGUAUAUUCAAAUCCUGGUAAAUUGUUAAUUACAAUGAGUUGUAAUAGUAAGAGACAAAUCACACAUAAUUGAAUCUUAAAUUAUCUGUGAUUAUAAGUAAUAACGAGAUACAGAUAUUGUUAUUAUGAAUACACUUUCAUGUGUGGCAUUUUUCACUUGUGAAAUGAGUAGCCGACCUCACAAGUUAAAAUGUAAUGAUAUUUGAAUGGACGUGUGAAUGUUUUGUUAUGAGAACAUAAUAUUGGAAUGUUAUAAGAACAAAACAUUGGAAACCCAUUGGAAAGAUUUUACGUGGAUAACUAUUUGAAUGUUAAUGUUUAAUCUCUAACGUUCGGUAAUGAAAUUGGUCACUCAACUUGAGAUCAUCAUAGUAUUUUAUAUGAGGGCAGUCAUGUUUUGAUGGUAUUGAAUAUUACUCUACCAAGAGUCAUAAAUAUGGUAUCGUUCGAGUAUGUCCAAAAUCAUGUGAAUGUUGUAAAUGAUUAAUAAAGGAUUUGUCACUCUUAGAUAGUAAGAUAUUAUAAUCUAUAUUUCAUUCAAUUAAGUUGAUAACGAAAUAUGUGCUCAUAAGUCGAAAAGAAUAUUUUUGAUUUAAGAGUGAGAUGAAAAAUAUCAUCAAUAAUCGAGAUUGACACUCUUCCAUUGAUCAUAUCAUAUUGACGAAAAGAUUAUAUUUUCACAGUAAACGAACAAGUUUGUUUUUGUCAUACCACGUGAUAUUUAUCGUCACGUUUAUUGUCAUGAUACAUUGUUAGAUAUAAAUCUGGGACGAUGAGUAUGAAUUAAUGAUAAAUUAAAACAAUUUUUUAAUUUACCGAUUUUGAUUAAAUCAAAAUAAUAAUUCACAUCGUUAGGUAUCGUGAUUGAGAACUUAAUGGAUCACACACAAUAAGGAAAUCUAGAAGAAUGAUAUUAAUUAUUAACUAAUUGAAAUUAGACCUGGCUAAAUUUAAAGGACAGACCAAGCUCACUUAAAUAUUUAUUAAUAAACUGUUAGGGGUUGAGAAAUGAUAACACGUUCAUUAUCUUAUUAACCCAAGAAAAGAGAAAUCUUAAUUCUCUCUUUUUUUUCCCUUGUGUGGAUUAUUAUUAGAGGCUUUACAAUUGGACAAUUGCGGUGUACAAAUCGUGAUUGUACGUGUUUCAAGAUAGUCAAAGAACUUCGUAGAAUUAAUUAAAGGUGAAUUCUUAUUAUAGUUUCCAUCUAAACAAAAAGAAAAUCCCCGAUGAGAAUUGAAAUUUUUUAAAUUUUGUUGUGCAUGAUUAAGUAAAUUCUCAACAUUUAUAUGCACUUAUUUGGUUGUUGAUUUUAAUUUAAGUCAAAGUCAACAGUAUUCCUUUAAUUUGUACAUGCGCUAGAGGAGAUUGAGAGUACAGCUAUUGACCUCAAAAAAUUGAUAAUAUUUUAGAGUCAACAGUCGAAUUUUCUGCCUGAAUUUCCGGAGGAUCUUCCUUCUUUUUGGGAAAGUUUUUAUGAAAACCUAUUGUUUAUAUAAAAGGAGUAAGGACCAAGGUUAUUUUGACCAGAUAGUAUUUCUCGCUCGAAGAGAGUGAUUUUUCGAGAUCGAUGUCGCGGAUUUUCAUUUGAUACAAUGCUCUUUUUCACAAUAGAAGUUUUGAUAUCAGAUUUUCCCUCUCUGCUUAUUGUGCAAUGGCUUUAUAUUUUUAAGGGCAUUUUGGUCAUCUAAUGAGUUGACAUUCUUUAGUAAUUAUGUUGAGAGUUAUAAAUUUAUAAUUAUCUUGAUUGAAGAUAUUCUUUCAGUCCCCGAGAUAUUGGUCCAUGUUAAAGGAGGUAAGUCCAUUUUAGGUUCUUAGUUCCCCCACUGAGGCAACAUAUAAUUCCUCAAAUUAAUGAAGGCAUACCUAUAGAGGAACUUGACUCUCUCAUUGUGUUUCGAAUAGAACAGAGUUGGCACAAUUUCUCAAUGAGUUAACGGAGAAAGGCCUAAAGAGGACCUUGACUCCCUCAUUGGAUCUUUAAAUAGAGUGGAUGGAACCAUUUUCUUGGAGGACAAGGCCUUUGGAAUCCUAUGCUAGGACCUGUCAAUGACCCAGCUCCAGCAUCAGUGGUUAUCCUAUGCUAAAGCUUGGAGUCUUACAGAUGCCCGGAAUCAUAAAGGAUUAUAGCUAACCCAUUUCCUUGAUAUUAGAGAACCAUGAGUCUAGUUUUGGAAGACUUGCAGUCUACCAACAAUAGUGACGCAUUUAUAGGAGCCACUAUUACCCCAAAUGUGUGGUGAAGACAUAAUAACUAGCAGCGAAAGCUGACCUUCAACAGGGAAACCACCAGCAGAAAAUAGCACAAUGUAGUAAGCGAGGGACUGCAGCCUUCCAAAUAUUAGAGAUGACCAUGAGCUAUAGUAUUGAAAGCUUAUUGUUGUCUCGAAUAAAUGAGGACUUAUAGUCAGACUACAGCCGGCCUUAGCAUCAUAGAUAAUCACGGGCCAAGUUCGAAAAUAGUAAAGCUUGGCCCCUGCAUAGCAAUAGGUCCGAUGGGCAAGCGUUGGGUGAGCAAAGACCAAAGGCUUGUCGAAGCCUCCAGCAUCAGAUAUAAUCAUGAGCUAGGACCUGACCUAUAGCUGGCAUUUGCAUCAUAGAUGAUCACGUCUAAGAUCAAGGUGUCUUUCUCUCAAUUGUGCCUAGUGUACGAGGGAAAUUGUUCAAAGUCCCUUCUGUGGCUGACUAGAAGUCUAGACGGACAAUAAUUAUUCUAGUACGACAACAUGAAUUGAAAUGGGAAGAUUGAAGACGAGAUAAAGAGGAGUUUCAAUUGAAUGCGUACUCUACUUUGCAAGGCCACAGAUUCCAAUGAGUUGCUUAUGUUGGAACGUCUACAAGGCGGGAGAUCCAAGCACGGAAGGGGAACUUCACCAGAUCAGCACUUUCUCUAACUCUGAGUCUUCCUGUCCAGACAAAUUGAUUGGCACACAAGCUUGCGGUCGUGGUAGAAGUGGCAGACUCUUAUUAUUGUGGCAAGAUGAAUGGGAUGUUAGCACCACAUCAUACUCCCACGAUCAUAUAGAUGCUCUUAUCACUCGGAAUUGAGUGGCAAUUUUCUAAACUCUACGGGAACCCACGACCAGAACUUCACCAGUUUUCUUGGGAGAAACAAGGAAUAUUGGGAAAAGCAAAAUAAAGAGCAAAAUUAAAGAGUUUGUUGGAGUGUAUAAACAAAUUGUUACAAAUUUAAGGAUGCUCUCUAAAAAUAAAGAGUGGAAAUGCUCUAAUUGGUUAAAAUAUUAUUUGGAAAAGGCAAAUGUCUGAUUCAAUAACAUUCAAAACUUUGAAAUUUGUAUCUGAAAACUGCAUUUUAUCUCUUAUGUGUCCCAUGUUGACUUCAGGUCUGUCCUCAUCUCUAGCUUGCAUAACAUACAGCUCCUCUAUUUUAUUUUAUUUUAUUUUUUUGACAGUUCGUCAGCAGGCACAACAUUUUACCUCCACCCAUCCUGUGGCAUGAGAAAACAACGGUUCAGAACAGAUUCUCAAGAAGGUGAU
rnacentral:lncRNA from 1 species